GAAUAUAUAGUGGUAAUAGGUGAAAUAUAAUAUUGGUAUUAAUUAGUUACUUUCAGCUCCCACAUAUAUAUUUAUACAUACAGAAGAAGCCCUUAUUUAAAUUAUUUUUAACCUAUUAGAUCACUACCAUAAAAAGAACAACCUUCAACCUUCCAUUGUAGCACCUCAUUCUCAGAAGGAACUACCAUCUCUCUCUCUCUCUCUCUCUCUCUCUCUCUCUCUCUC
rnacentral:lncRNA from 1 species